rnacentral:rRNA from 1 species
GACGAACGCUGGCGGCGUGCUUAACACAUGCAAGUCGAACGAUGAAGCCCAGCUUGCUGGGUGGAUUAGUGGCGAACGGGUGAGUAACACGUGAGUAACCUGCCCUCCACUCUGGGAUAACUCCGGGAAACCGGUGCUAAUACUGGAUAUGACUGCUGCCUGCAUGGGUGGUGGUGGAAAGAUUUAUCGGUGGUGGAUGGACUCGCGGCCUAUCAGCUUGUUGGUGGGGUAAUGGCCUACCAAGGCGACGACGGGUAGCCGGCCUGAGAGGGUGACCGGCCACACUGGGACUGAGACACGGCCCAGACUCCUACGGGAGGCAGCAGUGGGGAAUAUUGCACAAUGGGCGGAAGCCUGAUGCAGCGACGCCGCGUGCGGGAUGACGGCCUUCGGGUUGUAAACCGCUUUCAGCUCUGACGAAGCAUAUGUGACGGUAGGAGCAGAAGAAGCACCGGCUAACUACGUG